CGACGACUCAUUCAAGCUUCUGCCCUAUCAGCUUUGGAUGGUAGGGUAUUGGCCUACCAUGGCUUUGACGGGUAACGGAGAAUUGGGGUUCGAUUCCGGAGAGGGAGCCUGAGGGAUGGCUACCACAUCCAAGGAAGGCAGCAGGCGCGUAAAUUACCCAAUCCUGACGCAGGGAGGUAGUGACAAUAAAUAACAAUGCCGGACUUUCAGUCUGGCAAUUGGAAUGAGAACAAUUUAAAUCCCUUAUCGAGGAUCAAUUGGAGGGCAAGUCUGGUGCCAGCAGCCGCGGUAAUUCCAGCUCCAAUAGCGUAUACUAAAGUUGUUGCAGUUAAAAAGCUCGUAGUUGGAUUUCUGGUGGGGACAGCUGGUCGGGCUGGGAACAGCCUGCACUUGUGCUGGUCUUCAUCAUCCUUGGGGAGAGCAGGCGUGGCAUUAAGUUGUCGGGUCUGGGAUCCUCAUCGUUUACUGUGAAAAAAUUAGAGUGUUCAAAGCAGGCUUAGGCCGUGAAUACAUUAGCAUGG
rnacentral:rRNA from 1 species